rnacentral:rRNA from 1 species
CCUACGGGCGGCUGCAGUGGGGAAUAUUGGACAAUGGGCGCAAGCCUGAUCCAGCAAUGCCGCGUGUGUGAAGAAGGCCUGCGGGUUGUAAAGCACUUUAAGCAGGAAAGAAGGGGUGAAAGUUAAUACCUUUCAUCAUUGACGUUACCUGCAGAAUAAGCACCGGCUAACUCCGUGCCAGCAGCCGCGGUAAUACGGAGGGUGCGAGCGUUAAGUGGAAUGACUGGGCGUAAUGUGCGCGUUCCCGGGUGCAAUCCCUGUGCUUAACCUGGGAACUGCGGUGGAUACUGUCGGGCUAGAGUGUGGUAGCGGGGAGUGGAAUUUCCGGUGUAGCAGUGAAAUGCGUAGAGAUCGGAAGGAACACCAGUGGCGAAGGCGGCUCCCUGGACUAACACUGACGCUGAGGUGCGAAAGCGUGGGGAGCAAACAGGAUUAGAUACCCCGGUAGUC